CCUACGGGAGGCAGCAGUAGGGAAUAUUGCUCAAUGGGGGAAACCCUGAAGCAGCAACGCCGCGUGGAGGAUGAAGGUUCUCGGAUUGUAAACUUCUUUUGUUAGAGAAGAUAAUGACGGUAUCCAACGAAUAAGCACCGGCUAACUCCGUGCCAGCAGCCGCGGUAAUACGGAGGGUGCAAGCGUUACUCGGAAUCACUGGGCGUAAAGAGCGCGUAGGCGGGAUAGCAAGUCAGAUGGGAAAUCCUAGGGCUUAACCAUAGAACUGCAUUUGAAACUGUUAUUCUAGAGUAUGGGAGAGGUAGGUGGAAUUCUUGGUGUAGGGGUAAAAUGCGUAGAGAUCAAGAAGAAUACUCAUUGCGAAGGCGACCUGCUGGAACAUAACUGACGCUGAUGCGCGAAAGCGUGGGGAGCGAACAGGAUUAGAUACCCCAGUAGUC
rnacentral:rRNA from 1 species